UGAGCUAUACCAGCGGGCCAAGAAAC
rnacentral:piRNA from 1 species